GAGUUUGAUCAUGUUCAGAACGAACGCUGGCGGCGUGCCUAACACAUGCAAGUCCAACGUGAAAGGGGAGCAAUCCCCUGGUAGGGUGGCAAACGGGUGAGUAAUACAUGGGUGAUCUACCUUAGGGAUGGGGAUAUCCUUCCGAAAGGAGGGGCAAUACCGAAUAUUGUCCGGAGCCGUGAAGGGUUCCGGGGAAAGGGAGGCCUCUGACACAAGCUUUCGCCUUAAGAUGAGCCCAUGGCCCAUCAGCUAGUUGGUAGGGUAAAGGCCUACCAAGGCUACGACGGGUCGCUGGUCUGAGAGGACGACCAGCCACACUGGCACUGAGAUACGGGCCAGACUCCUACGGGAGGCAGCAGUGAGGAAUAUUGCGCAAUGGGGGAAACCCUGACGCAGCAACGCCGCGUGUGGGAAGAAGGCCUUCGGGUCGUAAACCACUUUUACUCGGGACGAAAAAGGGAUAUCAAAUAAAUAUCCCCGAUGACGGUACCGUGAGAAUAAGCCACGGCUAAUUCUGUGCCAGCAGCCGCGGUAAGACAGAGGUGGCAAGCGUUGUUCGGAAUUACUGGGCGUAAAGAGUCUGUAGGUGGUUUGUCAAGUCUUUGGUGAAAGGCCGUAGCUUACUAUGGGAAUGCCAAGAGACUGGCAGGCUGGAGGCUGG
rnacentral:rRNA from 1 species